rnacentral:rRNA from 1 species
GGCGGAGGAUGCAAGUGUUAUCCGGAAUCACUGGGCGUAAAGCGUCUGUAGGUGGUUUAAAAAGUCCACUGUUAAAGAUUGAAGCUUAACUUCAAAGAUGCCGUGGAAACUUUUAAACUUGAGUAUGAUAGGGGUAGAGGGAAUUUCCAGUGGAGCGGUGAAAUGCGUAGAUAUUGGAAAGACCACCAAUGGCGAAGGCACUCUACUGGGCCAUUACUGACACUGAGAGACGAAAGCUAGGGGAGCGAAUGGG